AGAGUUUGAUCAUGGCUCAGAUUGAACGCUGGCGGCAGGCCUAACACAUGCAAGUCGAACGGUAACAGGAAGCAGCUUGCUGCUUCGCUGACGAGUGGCGGACGGGUGAGUAAUGUCUGGGAAACUGCCUGAUGGAGGGGGAUAACUACUGGAAACGGUGGCUAAUACCGCAUAACGUCGCAAGACCAAAGAGGGGGACCUUCGGGCCUCUUGCCAUCAGAUGUGCCCAGAUGGGAUUAGCUAGUUGGUGAGGUAACGGCUCACCAAGGCGACGAUCCCUAGCUGGUCUGAGAGGAUGACCAGCCACACUGGAACUGAGACACGGUCCAGACUCCUACGGGAGGCAGCAGUGGGGAAUAUUGCACAAUGGGCGCAAGCCUGAUGCAGCCAUGCCGCGUGUAUGAAGAAGGCCUUCGGGUUGUAAAGUACUUUCAGCGGGGAGGAAGGUGUUGUGGUUAAUAACCACAGCAAUUGACGUUACCCGCAGAAGAAGCACCGGCUAACUCCGUGCCAGCAGCCGCGGUAAUACGGAGGGUGCAAGCGUUAAUCGGAAUUACUGGGCGUAAAGCGCACGCAGGCGGUCUGUCAAGUCGGAUGUGAAAUCCCCGGGCUCAACCUGGGAACUGCAUUCGAAACUGGCAGGCUUGAGUCUUGUAGAGGGGGUAGAAUUCCAGGUGUAGCGGUGAAAUGCGUAGAGAUCUGGAGGAAUACCGGUGGCGAAGGCGGCCCCUGGACAAAGACUGACGCUCAGGUGCGAAAGCGUGGGGAGCAAACAGGAUUAGAUACCCUGGUAGUCCACGCCGUAAACGAUGUCUACUUGGAGGUUGUGCCCUUGAGGCGUGGCUUCCGGAGCUAACGCGUUAAGUAGACCGCCUGGGGAGUACGGCCGCAAGGUUAAAACUCAAAUGAAUUGACGGGGGCCCGCACAAGCGGUGGAGCAUGUGGUUUAAUUCGAUGCAACGCGAAGAACCUUACCUGGUCUUGACAUCCACAGAAGAAUCCAGAGAUGGAUUUGUGCCUUCGGGAACUGUGAGACAGGUGCUGCAUGGCUGUCGUCAGCUCGUGUUGUGAAAUGUUGGGUUAAGUCCCGCAACGAGCGCAACCCUUAUCCUUUGUUGCCAGCGGUUAGGCCGGGAACUCAAAGGAGACUGCCAGUGAUAAACUGGAGGAAGGUGGGGAUGACGUCAAGUCAUCAUGGCCCUUACGACCAGGGCUACACACGUGCUACAAUGGCGCAUACAAAGAGAAGCGACCUCGCGAGAGCAAGCGGACCUCAUAAAGUGCGUCGUAGUCCGGAUUGGAGUCUGCAACUCGACUCCAUGAAGUCGGAAUCGCUAGUAAUCGUGGAUCAGAAUGCCACGGUGAAUACGUUCCCGGGCCUUGUACACACCGCCCGUCACACCAUGGGAGUGGGUUGCAAAAGAAGUAGGUAGCUUAACCUUCGGGAGGGCGCUUACCACUUUGUGAUUCAUGACUGGGGUGAAGUCGUAACAAGGUAACCGUAGGGGAACCUGCGGUUGGAUCACCU
rnacentral:rRNA from 1 species